AACGAACGCUGGCGGCAUGCCUAACACAUGCAAGUCGAACGAGACCUUCGGGUCUAGUGGCGCACGGGUGCGUAACGCGUGGGAACCUGCCCUUAGGUUCGGAAUAACUCCCCGAAAGGGGUGCUAAUACCGGAUAAUGUCUUCGGACCAAAGAUUUAUCGCCUUUGGAUGGGCCCGCGUUGGAUUAGCUAGUUGGUAGGGUAAAAGCCUACCAAGGCGACGAUCCAUAGCUGGUCUGAGAGGAUGAUCAGCCACACUGGGACUGAGACACGGCCCAGGCUCCUACGGGAGGCAGCAGUGGGAAUAUUGGACAAUGGGCGAAAGCCUGAUCCAGCAAUGCCGCGUGAGUGAUGAAGGCCUUAGGGUUGUAAAGCUCUUUUACCCGGGAUGAUAAUGACAGUACCGGGAGAAUAAGCUCCGGCUAACUCCGUG
rnacentral:rRNA from 1 species